ACCCUGAAAACACCGGUUCUUGUUGGAUCACCGAAGUUAAGCAAAAUCGAACCUGGUCAGUACUUCGAUGGGACAUCGCUUGUGAAUAUU